rnacentral:rRNA from 1 species
GGGAAACUCACCAGGUCCAGACACAAUAAGGAUUGACAGAUUGAGAGCUCUUUCUUGAUUUUGUGGGUGGUGGUGCAUGGCCGUUCUUAGUUGGUGGAGUGAUUUGUCUGCUUAAUUGCGAUAACGAACGAGACCUUAACCUGCUAAAUAGCCAGGCCCGCUUUGGCGGGCCGCCGGCUUCUUAGAGGGACUAUCGGCUCAAGCCGAUGGAAGUUUGAGGCAAUAA